UUAAGUCCGUAACGAGCGCAACCCUGUCCUUAGUUACCAGCACGUUAUGGUGGGCACUCUAAGGAGACUGCCGGUGACAAACCGGAGGAAGGUGGGGAUGACGUCAAGUCAUCAUGGCCCUUACGGCCUGGGCUACACACGUGCUACAAUGGUCGGUACAAAGGGUUGCCAAGCCGCGAGGUGGAGCUAAUCCCAUAAAACCGAUCGUAGUCCGGAUCGCAGUCUGCAACUCGACUGCGUGAAGUCGGAAUCGCUAGUAAUCGUGAAUCAGAAUGUCACGGUGAAUACGUUCCCGGGCCUU
rnacentral:rRNA from 1 species